UAUUGGAGCGGUUAGUGGCGGACUGGUGAGUAACACGUAAGCAACCUGCCUAUCAGAGGGGAACAACAGUUAGAAAUGACUGCUAAUACCGCAUAUGCCUUAGAAUCACAUGGUUCAGAAGGGAAAGGAGCAAUCCGCUGAUAGAUGGGCUUGCGUCUGAUUAGAUAGUUGGUGAGGUAACGGCCCACCAAGUCGACGAUCAGUAGCCGGACUGAGAGGUUGAACGGCCACAUUGGGACUGAGACACGGCCCAGACUCC
rnacentral:rRNA from 1 species